AUGGCGCGGCCGCCAUCGGGAUUCGCGGCUGAUAGCUCGGCACGUGUCGGGAUGACGUGUCGCGAGCAAACGACCCGCUCGCGCAAAACAGGACAACGCGGAGGGAAGUUGACGAUGAGUGUGGAGGAGAAGAGGAGGAAGAUGACAGGGGUCCGCGAUCGAUGCGAUCUCUCUGGGCCCGCUUCGUCGAUCUUUUCCUCCUGAUGAUCCGUGAAAUCCUGAUGAUGCGUAUAUGUAUGGUAAGAGAAAAAAAAAACGAAUUAACCGUGGAAUUGCGGCUUCGUCGACGCGAGAGCUGCGACGACGCGAAGUCGUCAAGAAGGCUUCGACAAGCGUACGAUUAGCAAUGGUAAUUGGCGCGCGAUGGGAUAAUUCAUCAACGAUAAAAACACCGAACGGAGACUAAAAAUAGCUGUGAGCGAAUAGAGAACGGCAAGGAAACGGCCAGAGCAGGAAGAAGUUUUGCACUUGUCGCAUAUAGGUGUAAUAUAGAAGAAACGAGUCUAUUAUUGCGCAAGGGGGUCUCUUGUGGAGACGAUUCUUAGGUGGAUGGGUGGGUGGGUGGAUAUGUCGAACCAUUUGGUGCUGUCGCUUCUGGACUUGUCGGAACGGAUACGACGUGGGUCGUCGAGAGGACGACACGCUGAGGGCGAAACGAGCUAGCGAAAACCGCCCGAGUAAACGAGUCUCGACGGUUGCGUUCGUGUUGAUGCUCAUCAUUUCCUCUCUCUCUCUCUCUCUCUCUCUCUCUCUCUUCGUUCUCCAGCCUUCUCAUUUUUUGUUUUCGCUUUCACCAGAGCUUUAAUAUCUUCCUUCGCGUCGUUUCGAUAAUGCAUGAGAUUCGUCGACCUGUUUCCAUCGCGUGUUUUGCGCGAUAUAAGAUUGUAAUGUUUCACUAUAAAACUAAAAAAAUGCUAAAAAUCUUACGACCUCCUGGUUGAGUGUGUUAUUUAUUAUGAACAUAUGUACCUGCCGAUCAUCGCGUGCACCAAUGUAGUGGUCCCUACACUGAGAAAAAAA